AUUGAACGCUGGCGGCCGGCCUAACAAAUGCAAGUCGAGCGGAGCGGCGGACGGGUGAGUAAUGCCUAGGAAUCUGCCUGGUAGUGGGGAAUAAAGUCCGGAAACGGGCGCUAAUCCCGCAUACUAUCAGAUGAGCCUAGGUCGGAGUAGCUAGUUGGUGGGGUAAAGGCCUACCAAGGCGACGAUCCGUAACUGGUCUGGGAGGAUGAUCAGUCACAUUGGAACUGAGACACGUGCCAGACUCAUACGGGACGUAGCAGUGGCGAAUAUUGGACAAUGGGCGAAAGCCUGAUCCAGCCCUGCCGUGUGUGUGAAGAAGGUCUUCGGAUUGUAAUGCACUUAAAGUUGGGAGGCGUUACCACCAGAAUCAGCACCGGCUAACUUCGUGCCAGCAGCCGCGGUAAUAC
rnacentral:rRNA from 1 species